GUUUGACCUCAAAUCAGGUAGGAAUACCCGCUGAACUU
rnacentral:rRNA from 1 species